rnacentral:rRNA from 1 species
UACGUAGGGUGCGAGCGUUAAUCGGAAUUACUGGGCGUAAAGCGUGCGCAGGCGGUGAGUUAAGUCUGAUGUGAAAGCCCCGGGCUCAACCUGGGAAUGGCAUUGGAAACUGGCUCGCUGGAGUGUGGCAGAGGGGGGUGGAAUUCCGCGUGUAGCAGUGAAAUGCGUAGAUAUGCGGAGGAACACCGAUGGCGAAGGCAAUCCCCUGGGCCUGCACUGACGCUCAUGCACGAAAGCGUGGGGAGCAAACAGG